AUGGGGGGACCAUCCUCCAAGGCUAAAUACUCGUUGUCGACCGAUAGUGAACCAGUACCGUGAGGGAAAGGCGAAAAGAACCCUGGUGAAGGGAGUGAAAUAGAACCUGAAACCGUGUGCAUACAAGCAGUCAGAGCAUAUGAAGAUAUGUGAUGGCGUACCUUUUGUAUAAUGGGUCAGCGAGUUACAUUCAGUGGCGAGGUUAACCGAAUAGGGGAGCCGUAGCGAAAGCGAGUCUUAAUAGGGCGAAAAGUCUCUGGGUGUAGACCCGAAACCGGGCGAUCUAUCCAUGGGCAGGUUGAAGGUUGAGUAACAUCAACUGGAGGACCGAACCCACGCAUGUUGAAAAAUGCGGGGAUGACCUGUGGAUAGGAGUGAAAGGCUAAACAAGCUCGGAGAUAGCUGGUUCUCCCCGAAAACUAUUGAGGUAGUGCCUUGUAGAUUGACUUACGGGGGUAGAGCACUGUUUCGGCUAGGGGGUCAUACCGACUUACCAACCCGAUGCAAACUCCGAAUACCUGGAAGUAUGAGCAUGGCAGACAGUCGCCGGGUGCUAACGUCCGGCGGCAAGAGGGAAACAACCCAGACCGCCAGCUAAGGUCCCGAAAUGACAGUUCAGUGGGAAACGAAGUGGGAAGGCUUAGACAGCUAGGAGGUUGGCUUAGAAGCAGCCAUCCUUUAAAGAAAGCGUAAUAGCUCACUAGUCGAGUCGUCCUGCGCGGAAGAUUUACCGGGGCUAAACUGUCUACCGAAGCUGCGGAUUUGCAUGAAGAUGCAAGUGGUAGGGGAGCGUUGUGUAAGCCGAAGAAGGUGUGUUGAGAAGCAUGCUGGAGGUAUCACAAGUGCGAAUGCUGACAUGAGUAACGAUAAUGCGGGUGAAAAACCCGCACACCGAAAACCCAAGGUUUCCUGCGCAACGCUAAUCGGCGCAGGGUGAGUCGGCCCCUAAGGCGAGGCGGAAACGCGUAGUCGAUGGGAAACAGGUUAAUAUUCCUGUACUGAUCAUAAUUGCGAUGGGGGGACGGAGAAAGCUAGGCCAGCACACUGUUGGAUGUGUGUUUAAGCGCGUAGGUUGGGGACUUAGGCAAAUCCGGGUUCCUAAGACUGAAACGUGAUGACGAGUUUCUACGGAAACGAAGUGGUUGAUGCUCUGCUUCCAGGAAAAGCCUCUAAGCUUCAGAUUAUGACAACCGUACCCCAAACCGACACAGGUGGGUAGGAAGAGAAUUCCAAGGUGCUUGAGAGAACUCGGGUAAAGGAACUCGGCAAAAUGAUACCGUAACUUCGGGAUAAGGUAUGCCUCUGAUGGUGAAUAGCUGUUGGAGGCCGCAGAGAAUAGGCCGCUGCGACUGUUUAUCAAAAACACAGCACUCUGCAAACACGCAAGUGGACGUAUAGGGUGUGACGCCUGCCCGGUGCCGGAAGGUUAAUUGAUGGGGUGCAAGCUCUUGAUCGAAGCCCCGGUAAACGGCGGCCGUAACUAUAACGGUCCUAAGGUAGCGAAAUUCCUUGUCGGGUAAGUUCCGACCUGCACGAAUGGCGUAACGAUGGCGGCGCUGUCUCUACCCGAGACUCAGUGAAGUUGAAAUCGCUGUGAAGAUGCAGUGUACCCGCGGCAAGACGGAAAGACCCCGUGAACCUUCACUACAGCUUGACACUGAACAUUGAAAUAAGUUGCAUAGGAUAGGUGGGAGGCUUUGAAGCAGAGACUCUGGUUUCUGUGGAGCCGACCUUGAAAUACCACCCUGCUUAUUUUGAUGUUCUAACGUAGACCCGUAAUCCGGGUUGCAGACAGUGUCUGGUGGGUAGUUUGACUGGGGCGGUCUCCUCCCAAAGAGUAACGGAGGAGCACGAAGGUUUGCUAAUGACGGUCGGAAAUCGGACUGAUAGUGCAAUGGCAAAAGGUAGCUUAACUGCGAGACCGACAAGUCGAGCAGGUGCGAAAGCAGGACAUAGUGAUCCGGUGGUUCUGAAUGGAAGGGCCAUCGCUCAACGGAUAAAAGGUACUCCGGGGAUAACAGGCUGAUUCCGCCCAAGAGUUCAUAUCGACGGCGGAGUUUGGCACCUCGAUGUCGGCUCAUCACAUCCUGGGGCUG
rnacentral:rRNA from 1 species